rfam:Schistosoma rodhaini strain Burundi genome assembly, scaffold: SROB_scaffold0000141
AUCCAGGUCAAGAGUCCCAAAUAGGACAAAACACGCGUCAAACUGGAU